ACACACACACACACACACACACACACACACACACACACACACACACACACACACACACACACACACACACACACAUACACACGCACACACACACACACACACACACACACACACACACACACACACACACACACACACACACACACACACACACACACACAGAAUAGUCAAAGAGGCCACAAGGAGACAGACAUUUAAAAGAUAGAACAGGAACAGAUCAUUUGUUGCAGUUUGUUUUUAUUUUACUUCACCAGAUACACAGGCAUUCCUGCCUUCUAGACUCUCGGUAAAGGAAAAUAAAGCAUAUUCUGCGAGGAAAAUGAUGUGAACAUGAAUUGACGAUACUAUUAUGAGUGAUGAAGAUUCGAUUGAAUGGAGGGAGAUGGAUGCCGGCGGCGACCGCAUCAUCUAAGGCAUUGGCCAAGCCUACAGCAGUGGCUGUGUUCCACCUGACGACUUGUGGAUAACUUUCAAAAUAUUGCUGUUGAAGAA